UCCCUAGUGGUCUAGUGGUCAGGACUUGGUGAUUUCACUCCUGUGACCCAGGUUCAAUCCCUGGUCUGGGAA
rnacentral:tRNA from 1 species